rnacentral:rRNA from 1 species
AUACGUAGGUGGCGAGCGUUGUCCGGAUUUACUGGGUGUAAAGGGCGCGUAGGCGGGGGAGCAAGUCAGAUGUUAAAUCCAUGGGCUUAACCCAUGAACUGCAUUUGAAACUGUUUCUCUUGAGUGUCGGAGAGGUAGAUGGAAUUCCUUGUGUAGUGGUGAAAUUUGUAGAUAUCUGGAAGAACACCGAUGGCGAAGGCAGGCAUCUGGCCGGAGACUGACGCUGAGGCGCGAAGGCGCGGGGAGCGAACAGGUUUAGAUACCCUGGUAGUCCGCGCAGUAAACGAUGCGCAACAGGUGUCGGGCGGCAGCGCCCGGUACCGGAGCAAACGCGAUGAGUGCGCCGCCUGGGGAGUAUGCCCGCAAGGGUGAAACUCAAAUGAAUUGACGGGG